AACGCACAUUGCGCCCGCCAGUAUUCUGGCGGGCAUGCCUGUCUGAGCGUCAUUUCAACCCUCGCAACCGGUUCGCGUCCGCGCGGCCGGCGGCGGUGUUGGAGAUCGGCCGCCCCUCGCGGGUGGCCGGCUCCCAAAUCCAGUGGCGACCGCGCCGUAGCCUCCUCUGCGUAGUAGUAACUCACCUCGCGGGUCGGAGAGCGGUGCGGAUCACGCCGUAAAACCCCAACUUCUCAAGGUUGACCUCAGAUCAGGUAGGAAUACCCGCUGAACUUAA
rnacentral:misc_RNA from 1 species